rnacentral:rRNA from 1 species
GGGUAGUUUGACUGGGGCGGUCUCCUCCCAAAGAGUAACGGAGGAGCACGAAGGUUAGCUAAUCCUGGUCGGACAUCAGGAGGUUAGUGCAAUGGCAUAAGCUAGCUUGACUGCGAGCGUGACGGCGCGAGCAGGUGCGAAAGCAGGUCAUAGUGAUCCGGUGGUUCUGAAUGGAAGGGCCAUCGCUCAACGGAUAAAAGGUACUCCGGGGAUAACAGGCUGAUACCGCCCAAGAGUUCAUAUCGACGGCGGUGUUUGGCACCUCGAUGUCGGCUCAUCACAUCCUGGGGCUGAAGUAGGUCCCAAGGGUAUGGCUGUUCGCCAUUUAAAGUGGUACGCGAGCUGGGUUUAGAACGUCGUGAGACAGUUCGGUCCCUAUCUGCCGUGGGCGCUGGAGAAUUGAGGGGGGCUGCUCCUAGUACGAGAGGACCGGAGUGGACGCAUCACUGGUGUUCGGGUUGUCAUGCCAAUGGCACUGCCCGGUAGCUAAAUGCGGAAGAGAUAAGUGCUGAAAGCAUCUAAGCACGAAACUUGCCCCGAGAUGAGUUCUCCCUGAGACUUUAAGUCUCCUGAAGGAACGUUGAAGACGACGACGUUGAU